UACGGGGGGGGCAAGCGUUGUUCGGAAUUACUGGGCGUAAAGGGCUCGUAGGCGGCCAACUAAGUCGGAUGUGAAAUCCCCAGGCUUAACCUGGGAACUGCAUCCGAUACUGGAUGGCUUGAAUCCGGGAGAGGGAUGCGGAAUUCCAGGUGUAGCGGUGAAAUGCGUAGAUAUCUGGAGGAACACCGGUGGCGAAGGCGGCAUCCUGGACCGACACUGACACUGAGGAGCGAAAGCCAGGGGAGCAAACGGG
rnacentral:rRNA from 1 species